AUUGAACGCUGGCGGAAUGCUUUACACAUGCAAGUCGAACGGCAGCACGGGGGCAGCCCUGGUGGCGAGUGGCGAACGGGUGAGUAAUACAUCGGAACGUGCCCGGUCGUGGGGGAUAACGUAGCGAAAGUUACGCUAAUACCGCAUACGAUCUGAUGAUGAAAGCGGGGGACCUUCGGGCCUCGCGCGAUCGGAGCGGCCGAUGUCAGAUUAGGUAGUUGGUGGGGUAAAGGCCUACCAAGCCGACGAUCUGUAGCUGGGCUGAGAGGACGACCAGCCACACUGGGACUGAGACACGGCCCAGACUCCUACGGGAGGAAGCAGUGGGGAAUUUUGGACAAUGGGGGAAAGCCUGAUCCAGCAAUACCGCGUGCAGGACGAAGGCCUUCGGGUUGUAAACUGAUUUUGUACGGAACGAAAAGGCUCUGGCUAAUACCUGGGGCUAAUGACGGUACCGUAAGAAUAAGCACCGGCUAACUACGUG
rnacentral:rRNA from 1 species